rnacentral:rRNA from 1 species
GAUGAACGCUGGCGGCGUGCUUAACACAUGCAAGUCGAACGGAAAGGCCCAAGCUUGCUUGGGUCCUCGAGUGGCGAACGGGUGAGUAACACGUGGGUGAUCUGCCCUGCACUUCGGGAUAAGCCUGGGAAACUGGGUCUAAUACCGGAUAGGACCACAUUUUGGAUGGUGUGGUGGAAAGAUUUUCGGUGUGGGAUGAGCUCGCGGCCUAUCAGCUUGUUGGUGGGGUAAUGGCCUACCAAGGCGUCGACGGGGAGCCGGCCUGAGAGGGUGUACGGCCACAUUGGGACUGAGAUACGGCCCAGACUCCGACGGGAGGCAGCAGUGGGGAAUAUUGCACAAUGGGCGCAAGCCUGAGGCAGCGACGCCGCGUGGGGGAUGACGGCCUUCGGGUUGUAAACUCCUUUCGCUAGGGACGAAGCGUUUUUGUGACGGUACCUGGAGAAGAAGCACCGGCUAACUACGUG